rnacentral:tRNA from 1 species
GCCGGAGUGGUGGAAUGGCAGACACGAUGCUCUCAAAAGGCAUUGUCCGAAAGGGCGUGCGGGUUCAAGUCCCGCCUCCGGCACCA